AGGCGGGGCGCGGAGGGGCGCGGCGUUUGUGCGGGCGCUGCGAGCGCGACCCGCCCGGAGCCGGCUCUGCGGUGACGUCUCAAAGAGCCAUUGAGGGGAGCCCCUGGCAGGAGGGCGCACCUGCAGAGACGCGCCUUUGAAAGCGCUGCAGCUGCCAGGGGCUGUCGGCCGGGCACCUAGCGGGGCAAAGAAUGGGGGACCCGGCCAUUUGAAUGGGAGGCCCCUGGGAAACAGCAGGCAUGUGCCAAGCCGGCAGACUGGGAAAGAAAGUGCGCUUCAUCGGUGACUCUGUUGUUGGGGACCCUUUCUCAGCCUCGGCGCCCUCAUGUGCAUGACAAAGGGGCCGCUGCCGCGAGGCCAGCUGUCCCGGAGGGCGGCAAGCGUGGCGGACAGAGCCGGGGCCCUCUGGCGCUUCUCUGGCCCUGACCCGGACGGGGAAGCCCAGGAGCGCGGCACCCGCCCUCUCUUGGGAAACCUGCCACCGAGUGGCCUCCUCCCAGUGCCUGCCCUGAGCUCCAGCUCAGCAUCCAGGUGUUUGCCGAAGCCAGAACUACCCGUGCCAGAGUCAUGAAGGAACAUUGGAGGCAGGGGUGCGCUGUGGCCACAGCAAGCCUGGGUCAGGGAGCCUGUGAGAACUGAUCGUGAACAGCCAAAGCCAGAGGCCGAGGGCGGCGCUGGCUCAUCUGCAAGCUCAGCCCCCUCCCCCAGCACACCUGGCUCGGAUGCAGAUGCGCUGGACCUGCCUGGACUCCUGUCCUCCCAAGCUCGGCCCCUGCUCCCUCCUCACCCCACAGGCGGUGGAGGAGGAGCAGGACUAGCUCAGGGUCCUCUGGAAGAGGCCAGGCAGGGGAAAAUUCCUCACCAAGCACCCUCACUGGGACAGCAGGGAGCCCCUGGGGAGGAGCACGCGCUCGCCUCCCAGGGAUCUGGGCCGUGGCCACAGCUGGCUGCCCCUUGUGGUCAGGCACCUGCCCUUCAGAGCCCUUCGGGCCUGUGGGCGCAGAGAGCGUGGCUGCCUCCUGGGCUCAGCCCACCUCACAGUAAGACCCUGGGAAGCACCGUCCUCCCUUGGGUCAUGUGGGCCGGAAUGCCCAGCCCUGACCUGGCAGGGUGAGGGCAACGUGCUCGUCUGGGUGACAGAGGGUCUCAUGGCAGCAGGGGCCUGGGCCGUGGUAGUCUUUGGUCCUAGGACAUCCGUCAGCUUUGCCUCAACCCCUUUAGAGCCUCAACUCAGGGUCCUGUUGCUGCCCCCGCCCCCCAGCAAGUCUCCCCACCCCUCCCAGCCGAGGACGCCCUUGGCCUCGGCCCUGCGUGACUCCCCAGCAUCCUGGGCUCCUCGCAGCCGGCCCUGGGUUGGACCAGCACCUCUGGGAUUUCACGCGUCCCUCAGAGGUGGCAGGUGACUUGGUGCGGGUUGGAGGGACCACAGCUAACAGGGGCACACACAGUGGAGCCCCUCUGGGAGCCUGGCCACCAAGGGAGUUAAGAACUACACAGGUCCUGGCUCUGGACAAGGCCCCAUCCACUGUCGGCCCGACACGGAGAGGGCCUGCGGCAGCCGGCGCAAGCUACACAGGGGUCGCACAGGUGGGUUGGGGUCCGAGACCGGCGCCGUCCCCGCCAGCCUGGUGGUGAGCUUCCCCUGCUGUGAGCCUGUCCCUCCUGCCCCGCCCGUCGGGAGUCUGAGAGCACCAGGGUGUACCUGACCUGAGCUCCCUCCUGACUGAAGCCCGGGGCCCAGACAGCUGCCCGGCAACCUCCCUCCUCCAGGACGCAGCGGUCAGAGCCACGGUCAGACCCACUGCCUAAAUGUUCGCUCAGCUGCUCAGUCUUAAUGGGCUUUCACACCAGGAAGAAUUAAAUUAGGUACUCCCUUGCUAAUCACCCUCUCUGUUUUCAAACAAAACAAGCCUUGGGCCCUGGAUUGUCCACUUUGAAUUAGAAGAGGAAUUCCCCUGGCAGCUGCCGGGGCCUGAUUGGCCCCCUGCAUCUCCGCAGAUGGGACUGCAGCCCCCUCCCCGCCCCCACCCCCUCUGCUGGAGUAACCUGUCAGGCAGGAGGGGAGGGGGCUACCCAGCCCCUCUGAUCUGAGCAUCUGAAGCUUCCCGACCCUGCACGCCCACAUGCAUUUAGAAGCAAACUCCAAGUCCCAACCGCAGCCUGGACCUGUGACCCCUCUUCCUCAUGGCCUGAGCCUUGGGGCCUUGCCCCCGUCCCCACAGAGCUCCUGGCACUAGAGCUUCUGCUCAGGUUUCAUUCUCUGGGUUUUUGGCCGCGCAGUCGCCCUUCUUCUGACCCCUGGCUGCCCCUUGUCUCCCUCGAGAGGUCCAGGCCCUGCCCGGUGGUCAGAGGCCCUCCUUCCCCUUCAUGGGCCUGAGCUGGGGUGGGGGUGGGAGGGGCUGCAAGGACACACUUUCUGGGGCUGGCCCGUCUGGCCGGAACCCCCUCUCAGCUCCCCAGUAUCUCUCAUCCAAGGUGCUGGGGAGGCCCCAGCUCUGGUAUAUUCUGGGCCAGGUUGGCCGACCUUGCCUCUGGGUGUGGCUUCAGCCAGGCUGAGGGGAGGCCACAGAGGCUGAGGAGGACCCAGCUGCCUUUGGGCGGGCGCCUCUGUGCACUGGUCCUGGACCCAGACCCCCAGGGCCCCCGAGGGCCAGGAUUGGCUCAAGGCUUCCGUGUGUGGCCUUCCUCCCGCCUGCAGGGAUCGGAAACAGGAUUAGGUGGGAUUACAAGCUCCAGAAGCCUCCUGCAGAGGCUCCGAGGACCAGCAGCCCGCCCGCCCUGGCUGGGAGUGGUCCCUGCUGCACGUGGGUCAGGGAGGGAAGAGGGCACUUUUGCAGGAGCCCCAUCUUGGGGGACAGUGGCCCUCUGUCUACAGAGCUGACCCCGAGAUGGGGCACGGGCUCAAGGCCCCAGGCGGCUGGAGCGGCCGCCAGCGGCACUGAGAGCCGCAGACAGGACGGCCUCCCUCUGAGCCGCAGACUCAGCAGCCCUGCUUCUUCUCCCUGUAGCCACCUGCCUCUUCUGCAGUGGGCUCCCUGCCCUCCCCAGGGCCGCUGUCCGGCUGGCAGGAGGGGGCGCAGGGGAAGAGGACAGGGCUUGGAUGACCACCACAAAGGGAAUUCUUUGUAAGUCUGCUUCCGUGUAUGUGGGGGAGAACGAACAGGGAACCUGAGGCCCAGAGAGGUUAAGUCACCACCUUAGGUGUCACAGCCCUGCAGCAGAGCCAGGACUAGAGCCAGGACUAGAGCUAGUACCUCCCAGUUCCCCUUCACCUCCCUGGACCCCCUUCCUCCUCCAAGACGGGUCUGUGACUGGCAGUUGGCACACGCCUCUUGUCCUCUGCUGUGGGUCAGCAUUUUGAGGGGCUGCUUCCUGGCCUGCCAGACUCCACAGCCCACCCCGCUGGGCCCCGGGCCCCUCAACACCCCUCCGCCGGGGUUUGCAGGUCUUCCUUAAUCCGUUUCUAACCUCUCUGGGCUUCUGGAAGCCGCAGGAAUGAGGGUCUGGAAUCAGCGUCUCAGCCCCGGAUUCCAGGCCCAAGUAGAAAAUGACCCACAGGCUCUCCGGACUCUCCUGAAGAUCCAAGGCCAUGGCUUCUGGUGGCCCCUGUGUGGUACGGGCUGGCAUCCAGCGGCCGAGAAAGGGGCACAGCCCACGCCCCCAGAGCUCAGCCUGGCCCGCCCAGCAAGACCAAGAGGAGACUCUGAGGCCCAUGGCAGGAGGACCCACUGUGUACCCGAACCCAUUCUUUCAAGGCGUCCACAGAGGCGCACCCUCAAAAUCUUCAUAGAGGAGUUCCCGUCGUGGCUCAGCAGGUUAAGAACCUGACACAGUGUCUGUGAGGUCACGGGUUUGAUCUGUGGGUUAAGGAUCUGGCGUUGCUGGGAGCUGUGGUACAGGCUGCAGAUGCAGCUCAGAUCCCGCGAGGCUGCGGUGUAGGCCGGCAGUUGCAGCUUCCAUUUGACCCCCAGCCUGGGGACUUCCAGGUGCUGCAGGUGCAGCC
rnacentral:lncRNA from 1 species